rnacentral:tRNA from 1 species
GCCGGGAUAGCUCAGUAGUAGAGCAGAGUACUGAAAAUUCUUGUGUCAUCGGUUCAAUUCCGAUUCCUGGCA